rnacentral:lncRNA from 1 species
AUGGAAGUAGUAACUUAAAGUUUUUGGUAUCGAGGUCAUUCUAAGGUACUGAGAUUCGGACUUUGGUAUGUAUAGGAUUCGUUUUCCAUGCACUAAGAUUUAAUUAUUGUUUAAUUUAUUGGUUUUUAGGUUUCUUUCCAUGCUCUGAUGCAUUUUCGGGUGUGCCAAUGGAAGCUUGCAUCACUCUUUACUCCAAGCGUAAGUAUGCUCUGCAUUAGCUUCUUCUGUUCCAUUGGUUAUUAUGGGUUUUGACUUUUGAGAAAUAUACAACAAUUUAAAACCAGGUUUUGUUGUUGAUUGGUUCGGUUUGUAUACCAUAUUUUG